CCCAGGCCUCUUCCACAUCUGGUCACACAGGAAGCAGCAGAGUCCCCGCUAUUGCUGCGGCCUGUGUCACAGUGUCACCUGUCACCUGGCUGCUGGAGAGCUCCCUGUACACAGAUGAAGAGCAACAGCGAAUCUGCUGCGAAACUAGUCCUGACUUCGGGGGUUCCGAAGUGAUCUCAGGGGACCUCGGAGGUUCCCUGACCCGUUCACUCUGAGAACCACUGGUGGAAGGGAAAGAAAUAAAGGAGAAAGGGCGAGAGGAGCGAUUUUAGAUAGGAGGAGGGGUCAGGAAAUACCACAAUGAGAAAGCGGAACCUGAGGUUUUGGGACGAGAAGGACCCAAUCCUGAGCACAGAUAACAAGAAGCAGAACAGGCCCGGAAUAGGAGGAGCUAGAGAAAUGUGAGACCCUGAGAAGAGCCCGCCCUGGAGAGAGCGUGGUGCCCGGGCCAGGGCGCCAGGACCCCUGCUCACACAGCAGCAGCAGCAGCAGCAGCACUCUGCAGGAUGGAGGCCAGUACUUGCACACGUGAAAGGUGCAGCCAGACGACGCACAACAAAAAUAUGCUGGUGUGAACACAGAAAAAAACAGCGCACGAGCCUGAGCUCCGUUUCUAUUCCUCCGCAGUCCCAGCUUGACACCCCU
rnacentral:lncRNA from 1 species